rnacentral:rRNA from 1 species
UACGAAGGGGGCUAGCGUUGCUCGGAAUUACUGGGCGUAAAGGGCGCGUAGGCGGCGCUGCAAGACAGAUGUGAAAUCCCCGGGCUCAACCUGGGAACUGCCUUUGUGACUGCAAGGCUUGAGUGCGGCAGAGGGGGAUGGAAUUCCGCGUGUAGCAGUGAAUGCGUAGAUAUGCGGAGGAACACCGAUGGCGAAGGCAAUCCCCUGGGCCUGCACUGACGCUCAUGCACGAAAGCGUGGGGAGCAAACAGG